GGUAGCUCGUUGGGCUCAUAACCCAAAGGUCGAAGGUUCGAAUCCUUCCCCCGCUA
rnacentral:tRNA from 1 species